AUGGGGGACACAGGCUGCCUGGGGGGCCAGGGCACCGGCCAGGGCAGGGACGAGGGAGGCAUGGGCAGGAGCGCCCACGCCAACAUUGCUGGACGCACCGGACGUGGCAACUGGGCCUUCAAGGAACAUGAUGGCCAUGGGCUGGGCUGGACUGAGCUACUGCAGGACCAAGGCCGACAUGGACAGACAGGCCUAAGGACCGUGCGCAGGGGCCACCGUUGCCCGGUUCCUCUGACUGGCAACAGCGUGUUCCAGAACACUCCUGCUCCUGUGGAUCCCAGACCAGAGAAGCCCGGACAAACUGCAGCACACACAGCAGUGCUGGACCAGAAAGCCAAGGAGGCCGCGGGCCUGGCCCCCGGGGGCUGUUUUCGGGCAGAAGCUGACCGAUACCCGUGGUGGCUGCUCGCCUCCACGUCAUGUCUGGCCUGUGGUCUGGCUGUGGUGGAGCCAGGUGUGUGCGGCCUGGCCGUCUCCAUCCAGGCCCCCCUCGUCUUCCCCUUGGCCACCUGCUGCAAAGGCACCAUCGCCACUGCCCCGUCCGUGACACUGGGCUGCCUGGUCACGGGCUACUUCCCGAUGCCGGUGACUGUGACCUGGGAUGCAGGGUCCCUGAACAAGAGCGUCGUGACCCUCCCCGCCACCCUCCAGGAGACCUCUGGCCUCUACACCACCACCAGCCACGUGACCGUCUCGGGCGAGUGGGCCAAACAGAAGUUCACCUGCAGUGUGGCUCACGCGGAGUCCCCCACCAUCAACAAGACCGUCAGUGCGUGUGCCAUGAACUUCAUUCCCCCCACCAUGAAGCUCUUCCACUCCUCGUGUAACCCCCUCGGUGACACCAGUAGCACCAUCCAGCUCCUGUGCCUCAUCUCCGGCUACGUCCCAGGUGACAUGGAGGUCACCUGGCUGGUGGAUGGGCAGAAGGCCACGAACAUAUUCCCAUACACUGCCCCCAGCAAGCAGGAGGGCAAGGUGACCUCCACCCACAGCGAGCUCAACAUCACGCAGGGUGAGUGGGUGUCCCAAAAGACCUACACUUGCCAGGUCACCUAUCAAGGCUUCACCUUUGAGGACAACGCUCGCAAGUGCACAGAGUCUGACCCCCGAGGUGUGAGCACCUACCUGAGCCCGCCCAGCCCUCUUGACCUGUACGUCCACAAGUCGCCCAAGAUCACCUGCCUGGUGGUGGACCUGGCCAACACAGAAGGCAUGAUCCUGACCUGGUCGCGGGAGAAUGGGGAGUCUGUGCACCCAGACCCGAUGGUCAAGAAGACUCAGUACAACGGGACAAUCACCGUCACUUCCACCCUGCCUGUGGAUGCCACUGACUGGGUUGAGGGGGAGACCUACCAAUGCAAGGUGACCCAUCCGGACCUGCCCAAGGACAUCGUGCGCUCCAUUGCCAAAGCCCCCGGCCGGCGUUUCCCCCCGGAGGUGUACGUGUUCCUGCCGCCCGAGGGGGAGCCGAAGACCAAGGACAAAGUCACUCUCACGUGCCUGAUCCAGAACUUCUUUCCCCCGGACAUCUCGGUGCAAUGGCUUCACAACGACAGCCCUGUUCGGACGGAACAGCAGGCCACCACGUGGCCCCACAAGGCCACUGGCCCCAGCCCAGCCUUCUUUGUCUUCAGUCGCCUUGAGGUCAGCCGGGCAGACUGGGAGCAGAGGGAUGUGUUCACCUGCCAAGUGGUGCACGAGGCGCUGCCUGGCUCUAGGACGCUCAAGAAAUCCGUGUCCAAAAACCCUGGUAAAUGAUGCCCACCCCUCCCCCCAGAGCUCCAUCCUGCUGGGGCGGGGGAGGGGCCGGCCGGACCUGCCGGUCUGUUGUUGUCAAUAAACACUGCAGUGCCUGCCUCAGA